rnacentral:rRNA from 1 species
CAAGUCGAACGGUAACAGGAAGCAGCUUGCUGCUUUUCUGACGAGUGGCGGACGGGUGAGUAAUGUCUGGGAAACUGCCUGAUGGAGGGGGAUAACUACUGGAAACGGUAGCUAAUACCGCAUAACGUCGCAAGACCAAAGAGGGGGACCUUCGGGCCUCUUGCCAUCGGAUGUGCCCAGAUGGGAUUAGCUAGUAGGUGGGGUAACGGCUCACCUAGGCGACGAUCCCUAGCUGGUCUGAGAGGAUGACCAGCCACACUGGAACUGAGACACGGUCCAGACUCCUACGGGAGGCAGCAGUGGGGAAUAUUGCACAAUGGGCGCAAGCCUGAUGCAGCCAUGCCGCGUGUAUGAAGAAGGCCUUCGGGUUGUAAAGUACUUUCAGCGGGGAGGAAGGCGAUAAGGUUAAUAACCUUGUCGAUUGACGUUACCCGCAGAAGAAGCACCGGCUAACUCCGUGCCAGCAGCCGCGGUAAUACGGAGGGUGCAAGCGUUAAUCGGAAUUACUGGGCGUAAAGCGCACGCAGGCGGUCUGUCAAGUCGGAUGUGAAAUCCCCGGGCUCAACCUGGGAACUGCAUUCGAAACUGGCAGGCUAGAGUCUUGUAGAGGGGGGUAGAAUUCCAGGUGUAGCGGUGAAAUGCGUAGAGAUCUGGAGGAAUACCGGUGGCGAAGGCGGCCC